rnacentral:rRNA from 1 species
UACGUAGGCAGCGAGCGUUGUUCGGAAUUACUGGGCGUAAAGAGUGUGUAGGCGGUGCUCCCAGUCUGUUGUGAAAUCUCCCGGCUUAACUGGGAGGGUGCAGCGGAAACUAGAGUGCUAGAGGGUGGGAGAGGUAAGCGGAAUUCCUGGUGUAGCGGGUGAAAUGCGUAGAUAUCAGGAGGAACACCUGUGGUGUAGACAGCUUACUGGACCACUUCUGACGCUGAGACACGAAAGCGUGGGUAGCAAACAGG